rnacentral:rRNA from 1 species
CUGGUUGAUCCUGCCAGUAGUGAUAUGCUUGUUUCAAAGAUUAAGCCAUGCAUGUCUAAGUAUAAGCGAACUUAUACAGUGAAACUGCGGAUGGCUCAUUAAAACAGUUUGAAUUUAUUUGAUGAAUGUAUGAGAAUACUACUUGGAUAACCGUAGUAAUUCUAGAGCUAAUACAUGCAACGACGCCCGACCGUUUCACUACGGAAGGGCUGUAUUUAUUGGAUACCAAAACCAUCCUUCCCUCGGGAAGUUUUGUUUGAUGAUUCACAAUAACUGAUCGGAUCGCCACUGAGGUGGCGACAGGUCAUUCAACAUUCUGCCCUAUCAGCUUUCGAUGGUUGUGUAGUGGACAACCAUGGCCAUAACGGGUAACGGAGAAUCAGGGUUCGAUUCCGGAGAAGGAGCUUGAGAAUUGGCUACUACAUCUAAGGAAGGCAGCAGGCGCGCAAAUUACCCAAUCCCGAUUCGGGGAGGUAGUGACAAAAAAUAACAAUACCGGGCCUUUUUGGGCUUGGUAAUUGGAAUGAGGGAGAGUUAAACGGACCAUCGAGUAUCCAUUGGAGGGCAAGUCUGGUGCCAGCAGCUGCGGUAAUACCAGCUCCAAUAGCGUAUAUUAAAGUUGUUGCAGUUAAAAGCUCGUAGUUGGACUUGUGUGCGCUGUCCGCGGGUGGCCUGCGCCCAAAAGGGCGUUUCGGUUCGGCCCCGGUGGCGCCUUGAAAUCUGCAGCUGGGGGGACGUUGGCCUUAACUGGUCGGCGACCGCACGCCGGCUGCUCGGUUACUGUGAGAAAAUUAGAGUGUUCAAGGCAGGCAUUGGGUGCAAUUGAAUACAUUAGCAUGGAAUAAUAAAAUAUGGCUCCUGCCGUAUUUUGUUGGUUUUGACUGGUGGGAGUAAUGAUUGAUAGGGACGGUUGGGGGUGCUAGUAUUGAGCGGCCAGAGGUGAAAUUCAUGGAUUCGCUCAAGACUAACUUAUGCGAAAGCAUUCACCAAGGACGUCCUCUUUAAUCAAGAACGAAAGUUGGGGGAUCGAAGACGAUCAGAUACCGUCGUAGUCUCAACCAUAAACUAUGUCGACUUGGGAUCGGCGGUAGUUUUUUCAUUAAGACACUGUCGGGACCACGGGAGAAAUCAAAGUGUCUGGACUCUGGGGGAAGUAUGGUCGCAAGGCUGAAACUUGAAGGAAUUGACGGAAGGGCACCAC